AGAGUUUGAUCCUGGCUCAGAUUGAACGCUGGCGGCAAGCCUCAUACAUGCAAGUCGAGCGAGAACGUUACUUCGGUAGCUAGUAAGGCGGCGGACGGGUGAGUAACGCGUAGGAAUCUACCUUUCAGCGGGGGAUAGCUCGGGGAAACCCGAAUUAAUACCGCAUACACCCUAAGGGGGAAAGAGGGCCUAUCCUUGGAAGCUCUCGCUGUUAGAUGAGCCUGCGUGAGAUUAGUUUGUUGGUGGGGUAAUGGCCUACCAAGACUACGAUCUCUAGCUGGUCUGAGAGGACGAUCAGCCACACUGGGACUGAGACACGGCCCAGACUCCUACGUGGAGGCAGCAGUAGGGAAUAUUGGACAUGGGGGCAACCUGAUCCAGCAUGCCGCGUGUGUGAAGAAGGCCUUAGGGUUGUAAAGCUCUUUCAGGGGUGAGGAUUAUGACGGUACCUGCAAAGAAGCUCCGGCUAACUCCGUGGCCAGCAGCCGCGGUAAUACGGAGGGGGCAAGCGUUGCUCGGAAUUACUGGGCGUAAAGCGAGCGUAGGCGGUUAAUCAAGUUGGUGGUGAAAGCCCAGAGCUUAACUCUGGAACUGCCAUCAAAACUGAUUGACUAGAGAUUGGUAGAGGAAAAUGGAAUUCCUAGUGUAGAGGUGAAAUUCGUAGAUAUUGGGAAGAACACCAGUGGCGAAGGCGAUUUUCUGGGCCAAUUCUGACGCUGAGGUUCGAAAGCGUGGGUAGCAAACAGGAUUAGAUACCCUGGUAGUCCACGCCGUAAACGAUGAGUGCUAGACGUCGGAAACUAGUUUUCGGUGUCGUAGUUAACGCAUUAAGCACUCCGCCUGGGGAGUACGGUCGCAAGAUUAAAACUCAAAGGAAUUGACGGGGGCCCGCACAAGCGGUGGAGCAUGUGGUUUAAUUCGACGCAACGCGAAGAACCUUACCAGCUUUUGACAUGCUAGGUCGCGGAUUUUAGAGAUAAAAUCCUUCAG
rnacentral:rRNA from 1 species